UACAGAGGGGGCAAGCGUUGUUCGGAAUUACUGGGCGUAAAGGGCGCGUAGGCGGCCCGCUAAGUCGAACGUGAAAUCCCCCGAGCUCAACUCGGGAACUGCGUCCGAUACUGGCGGGCUUGAAUCCGGGAGAGGGAUGCGGAAUUCCAGGUGUAGCGGUGAAAUGCGUAGAUAUCCGGAGGAACACCGGUGGCGAAGGCGGCUCCUGGACCGACACUGACGCUGAGGCGCGAAAGCGUGGGGAGCAAACAGG
rnacentral:rRNA from 1 species